GUCGGACGCGAAAGUUUCCUUCGGGAACAAGUAGAGUGGCGUCCGGGUGAGUAACACGUAGGUAAUCUACCUUUGGGUGGGGAAUAACAACCGGAAACGGUUGCUAAUACCGCAUAAUGCAGCGGCAUCACAUGAUGACAGUUGUUAAAGCGGGGGAUCGCAAGACCUCGCGCCUAAAGAGGAGCCUGUGGCGGAUUAGCUAGUUGGCAGGGUAACGGCCUACCAAGGCAACGAUCCGUAGCCGGCCUGAGAGGGCGGUCGGCCACACUGACACUGAAAUACGGGUCAGACUCCUACGGGAGGCAGCAGUCGGGAAUUUUGGGCAAUGGGCGAAAGCCUGACCCAGCAACGCCGCGUGAAGGAUGAAAUCCCUCGGGAUGUAAACUUCGCAAGAACAGGAAGAAUAAGCUCGUGUUAAUAGCACGAGUGAUGACGGUACUGUUUGUAAGCUCCGGCUAACUCCGUGCCAGCAGCCGCGGUAAUACGGGGGGAGCAAGCGUUGUUCGGAUUUACUGGGCGUAAAGGGCGCGUAGGCGGUCGUGACAAGUCACUUGUGAAAUCUCCGGGCUUAACUCGGAACGGUCAAGUGAUACUGUCGGACUAAAGUACAGAAGGGGCAACUGGAAUUCUCGGUGUAGCGGUGAAAUGCGUAGAUAUCGAGAGGAACACUGCGGCGAAGGCGGGUUGCUGGGCUGAUACUGACGCUGAGGCGCGAAAGCCAGGGGAGCGAACGGGAUUAGAUACCCCGGUAGUC
rnacentral:rRNA from 1 species